rnacentral:rRNA from 1 species
GUAGAUCGCCUUCUUAUGUGACCUGCGGAAGGAUCAUUA